rnacentral:rRNA from 1 species
GACGAACGCUGGCGGCGUGCUUAACACAUGCAAGUCGAACGGAAAGGCCCUGCUUUUGUGGGGUGCUCGAGUGGCGAACGGGUGAGUAACACGUGAGUAACCUGCCCUUGACUUUGGGAUAACUUCAGGAAACUGGGGCUAAUACCGGAUAGGAGCUCCUGCUGCAUGGUGGGGGUUGGAAAGUUUCGGCGGUUGGGGAUGGACUCGCGGCUUAUCAGCUUGUUGGUGGGGUAGUGGCUUACCAAGGCUUUGACGGGUAGCCGGCCUGAGGGGGUGACCGGCCACAUUGGGACUGAGAUACGGCCCAGACUCCUACGGGAGGCAGCAGUGGGGAAUAUUGCACAAUGGGCGGAAGCCUGACGCAGCAACGCCGCGUGCGGGAUGACGGCCUUCGGGUUGUAAACCGCUUUCGCCUGUGACGAAGCGUGAGUGACGGUAAUGGGUAAAGAAGCACCGGCUAACUACGUG